rfam:Schistosoma rodhaini strain Burundi genome assembly, scaffold: SROB_scaffold0003652
AUCCAUCUGACGAGUCCCAACUAGGAUGAAACGCGAGUCAAACUGGAU